UCGAGCGGUACAGAGAAUAGCUUGCUAUUCUGCUGACGAGCGGCGGACGGGUGAGUAACGCGUAGGAAUCUGCCCGGUAGCGGGGGAUAGCCCAGAGAAAUUUGGAUUAAUACCGCAUACGCCCUACGGGGGAAAGGAGGGGACUCUUCGGAGCCUUCCACUAUCGGAUGAGCCUGCGUGAGAUUAGCUAGUUGGCGGGGUAAAGGCCCACCAAGGCGACGAUCUCUAGCUGGUCUGAGAGGAUGAUCAGCCACACCGGAACUGAGACACGGUCCGGACUCCUACGGGAGGCAGCAGUGGGGAAUAUUGCACAAUGGGCGAAAGCCUGAUGCAGCCAUGCCGCGUGUGUGAAGAAGGCCUUAGGGUUGUAAAGCACUUUCAGCGAGGAGGAAAGCUUGUGAGUUAAUACCUCUCAAGUGUGACGUUACUCGCAGAAGAAGCACCGGCUAACUCCGUGCCAGCAGCCGCGGUAAUACGGAGGG
rnacentral:rRNA from 1 species